CUUCGCCACAGUGUUUGCCUUAGUGGUAACAAGCUCAGCCUCUACUGAUUUUUUGCUUCAUUUUUGUGCUCCUUGUAACUUUGUAUUUUGCUCCCUUGCAGGUUUCUAGCAUAAGGCUUUGUUUACCUUGCCUUGUAGAAAUUGGAUCUUUGUUUUUGUGGACUUCGUUCCCAACCACCUGUACUUUUCGGACAUGGACCAAGCUGGCGGUUUCCCGCUUCCUCCUCCUUCAGGACCACGGCAUAAGCGUACCCUUUUCCACCAUCCAACACAAGUACCCGCACCCAAGCUAUCUCUGCUUUUCACCAAGUCCUCUCAGACAGCACCAGAGAGAACAGCUGAGCAACUCCUACUUCGCAAGCCAAGACCCUGAAUCCCUCGACCCCCUGGUGGUUCAAGCGGCAACAAUUUAUUGGCGUUUCCCCGCUCCUGAUUAUUUUGCUGAAAAAAAAAAAGAAACACCUUGCAUUCUGUUACAUCUGAGCGUUUUUCUGUAUGUGAGUCAAAGCUGUCUCGAAAGCUUUGACAAAAACAAACUUGUUUUGCACAUAUCAGAAAUCCUUGGUUAAUAACUAUGUUCUGUGAGACACCCUUCUGCUAACUAUAGCAGCAAUGCUAAAGCUGGAAAACACAAGAAUCCAAAACCAAAUUGGCAGAUCACAGGCCGAGUGUUUGAAAAGAGGCCUUCUGCAGGUGCUGGUGGCUAGCUUGAUUGCUGUCUGCUUGUCAAGAACUGCUACACAUGCUUCUGCAGCCCUCUGAGAUCAUUUGUUUGGUUUGUCUCUUAUGUUUAGGCUGUGUUGGCUUUGUUUAUUGAUGGGGUUUUUGGUUAACCUGCAAUUUGGCUUUUCAAGUAUCUUUUAUUUAAAUGUAUUAAAUAUUUUAAGCAAAAA